ACGAACGCUGGCGGCGUGCUUCACACAUGCAAGUCGAACGGUGAAGCGCCUUCCUUUUUGGUGGGUGUGGAUGAGUGGCGAACGGGUGAGUAACACGUGAGUAACCUGCCCCCUUCUUCUGGAUAACCGCAUGAAAGUGUGGCUAAUACGGGAUAUUCUGGGUCUGUCGCAUGAUGGGUCUGGGAAAGAUAUUGUUUCGGUGGGGGAUGGGCUCGCGGCCUAUCAGCUUGUUGGUGGGGUGAUGGCCUACCAAGGCGGUGACGGGUAGCCGGCCUGAGAGGGUGGACGGUCACACUGGGACUGAGACACGGCCCAGACUCCUACGGGAGGCAGCAGUGGGGAAUAUUGCACAAUGGGCGCAAGCCUGAUGCAGCGACGCCGUGUGAGGGAUGGAGGCCUUCGGGUUGUGAACCUCUUUCGCCAGUGAAGCAGGCCUGCCUCGUUUGUGGGUGGGUUGACGGUAGCUGGAUAAGAAGCGCCGGCUAACUACGUG
rnacentral:rRNA from 1 species